AGGAUAAUUCAAAGAUGAAAAAGACAACUUAGUUCCUCUCUUCCAGAAGCUCACAAUCUAGCAAUGGAGGAAAACACAGAGUCCUAAUUUGGUGCUUUUUUCACUAUACCAUACCACCUCUCUUGGACCUUUUAAGGAAACCUCUCUGGGUCAACUGAUUCCCUGCCACACACCAUGUGGGGAGAGACUACUGUGAUCAUCUUCCUCACUAGGACCACAUGGAGUAUGCAAUGGAUGUUUUUUUCAAGAAAGGGUUACUAGCAGACAGGAGCAAUGUGCUAACCACCAGCUGUUAAGGGAAUAGAGGACCUUCAAGAUGGUGGAGGAGUAAGACGUGGAGAUCACCUUCCUCCCCACAAAUACAUCAAAAAUACAUCUACAUGUGGAGCAACUCCUGCAGAACACCUACUGAAAGCUGGCAGAAGACCU